rnacentral:rRNA from 1 species
UACGAAGGGGGCUAGCGUUGUUCGGAUUUACUGGGCGUAAAGCGCACGUAGGCGGUUUGUUGAGUCAGAGGUGAAAUCCCGGAGCUCAACUCCGGAACUGCCUUUGAUACUGGCAAGCUAGAGUCCGGAAGAGGUAAGUGGAACUCCUAGUGUAGAGGUGGAAUUCGUAGAUAUUCGCAAGAACACCAGUGGCGAAGGCGGCUUACUGGUCCGGUUCUGACGCUGAGGCGCGAAAGCGUGGGGAGCAAACAGG